rnacentral:rRNA from 1 species
CCAAUAGCGUAUAUUAAAGUUGUUGCAGUUAAAAAGCUCGUAGUUGAAUUUCGGGAUUAAUAUGUUGGUCGUGCCUUGGUACGUACUGGCAUUAUUGAUUCCUACCUUCUGAAGAACCUCGAUGUCAUUAAUUUGGUGUCUUGGGGAAUCAGGACCGUUACUUUGAAAAAAUUAGAGUGUUUAAAGCAGGCUCGCGCUUGAAUACAUUAGCAUGGAAUAAUGAAAUAGGACGUUUGAUUCUAUUUUGUUGGUUUCUAGGAUCGACGUAAUGAUUAAUAGGGAUAGUUGGGGGCAUUAGUAUUCAAUUGUCAGAGGUGAAAUUCUUGGAUUUAUUGAAGACUGACUACUGCGAAAGCAUUUGCCAAGGAUGUUUUCAUUAAUCAAGAACGAAAGUUAGGGGAUCGAAGACGAUCAGAUACCGUCGUAGUCUUAACCAUAAACUAUGCCGACUAGGGAUCGGAUGAUGUUAAUUUUUUAAUGACUCAUUCGGCGCCUUACG